rnacentral:tRNA from 1 species
GCGAGAGUGGCGGAACUGGUAGACGCACCGCACUCAAAAUGCGGCGGCCGAAAGGACAUGUGGGUUCGAGUCCCACCUCUCGCACCA